GCCUCAGCCUCCCGAGUAGCUGGGAUUACAGGCGUGAGCCACCAUGCCCGGCUAAUUUUUAUAUUUUUAGUAGAGACGAGGUUUCACCAUGUUGGCCAGGCUAGUCUCGAACUCCUGACCUCAGGUUAUCUGCCCACCUUGGCCUCCCAAAGCACUGCGAUUACACGCGAGAGCCACUGGUCCAUGAGCAGCACACGGGCCCAUUCCUGCCUCCCCACUUUUGCUCAAGCCUUUCUCCCUGCCUAGCACAUCCCCUCCUCCUCCUGUCCUCAUCAGGAGCUCUCCUGCCCCACGGCUGCCGUGGACCACUCACCAGUGCAU
rnacentral:lncRNA from 1 species